CAAUAGCAUAUAUUAACGUUGUUGCAGUUGAAAAGCUCGUAGUUGAACUUUUGGUAGGAGCGACCUGGCCUUGGGCGCAUGCCCUUGUUUGCCGUGUGUCGUAUCUGGCCAUCCUUUUCCGCUUCGGCGGGAAUCUUUUACUGUGAGUAAACUGGAGUGCUCAAAACAAGACGUUUGUUUGGUACAUUAAAGCAUGGAAUAAUAAGAUAGGACCUGGUUACUAUUUUGUUGGUUUGCAUAGUUAGGUAAUGAUUAACAGGGACAGUUGGGGGUAUUCGUAUUUAAUUGUCAGAGGUGAAAUUCUUGGAUUUAUGAAAGACGAACGACUGCGAAAGCAUUUACCAAGGAUGUUUUCAUUAA
rnacentral:rRNA from 1 species